GUUCAAUGGAUAAAUCAGAUGUGUUCACACUUACUAUUCAGAGGUGCAGCUUACUGAAUUGGUCCCCAGUUGUUCUGUGCAUUAUGCAGUAAGAAUAUCAGAUUAUCUGCCAGCAAUUUAAACAACAGUUUGUAUCACAGCUCUAAGUCGCAAUAAUUUACAUGAAUAAGAAUCCUAACUCUAUAUGCUUGAAUUCUAUCUAAUCAAUCCAACAUCACAUUAGUGCAGACAUCAACUUGUAUGCUCUUCAGUUUAUAACGUAGAUUGCCGCAAUGAUGAUUUAUAUACAAUUCCCUCAAUUCUUCAUUUUAUUUGUCUGGCUAUGAAAUUACAACCUCUCCAUCUUUAGUUUUGGUGCUGCCAUGAUAUGCUAACAGAUAGUAUUGCUUAUGAUAGACCACAACCUGAGCCAACGAACCUGAGCCAAGGAAUCACAAUAAACAAUUGAAGGACUUCAUUAUUUUUAAUCUUAUUCUAUUGCCAAGGUUUAAUGGGUUUUCAGAUUUGUACAUUGAUAAUUUGUUAAAGAUAGAGAAACUAUAAUAGUUAUGGUAUAUGUACCUUUAGAGUUUAGAUGAUCAACUUUGGCUGUAAGUGGGUCCUCUGCAUAUAGUAUGAUAUCUGGUCCAUUUUUUUUGUUUGGUAAAUAUGGAACAAUUGCAUGUGUGUUUCUCUUAGCUCUGGUUCUGGUGGCCAUGCUGUAACUCCAGAGCCACUUAAUGCGGAGGUAAUUGUUUCUGUGUAAGCUGCAGGAAAGCCCUCUCGGAACAUACAAAAAUGUUACUGGAUCUUCUAAAUCUCUAUGCUUUCCAUGCCCUCCACAAGAACUCCCUCACCGUGAUAUGUAUGUAAAUGUCAGAUGUAAUUCUUUCUGUUUGUUUUUCUUUUGGUGCAGUACAAACUGGAAGUUCUAUCUUAGAACAAAAUCUAACUUAAGUUUUGAAUUUGCUGGCUUGCAAUGUCAUGUUUUCUAUUUGACACCUUUCUUUUUAGUUUGUAUAUUACUGUGCUAGAUAGGCAUCAAAAUAAUGUUGCUUCAAUAUUUCUAACUUUGCUUAUGUUUGACAGGAGGUGCUUCUGAAACUCCAUGUCCCUACAGAUGUGUGUCUAACAGACAUCACAUGCCUCACUGUUAUACAGCUCUGGAGGAAUUAAUAUACACUUUUGGAGGACCUUGGUUAUUUGGCCUACUUCUUUCAGGCCUUCUUAUCUUGUUAGCUCUUGUUUUAAGUGUUGCUCGUAUGAAAUUUGUCGCCACUGAUGAGUUACCUGGGCCAGCGCCAACCCAUCAACAGUCCCUAAUUGAUCAUUCCUUUCCCUUCCUAGAAUCAAUAAAUGAGUUACUUCAUACCUUUCCUAUGUAGCCAAGCUCACAUCUUAGGUGCCAGUGCUGUCCUUAUUUUUUUUGGGGAGGAUUGGAGCCGUCCUGAAUUCUGAUAGAAUUUUUGUUAUUUCUAUAGGUCUUGGAAACUAAUACUCUAAUAGGGUUCAAGAGUCACAUGAACACGUACACAUGAUGUAUUUCAUAGGUCUCAACACCUUCAGUGAACCAUGGCAUCAUAUCUCCCAUGCAGUCCACCAGAACAAAUAACAGAGAUUAUAUGAAGAUGUGUUUAAUUGAUUUGUUGAUGAGAUAAACACCCUUGCAGCUUAUCAAUGGUGGGAAGGAUCUAUUUAUAGCAUCGUAUGUAUCCUUGCAUACCCCCUGGCUUGGUCAUGGCAACAGUGGCGUAGGAGAAAGAAAUUACAGAGACUUCGUGAACUUGUUCGUUCUGAAUAUGAUCAUUCAUGCUUACGUGCACUCUAUGAAGGCCUCAAGGUCUGACUUGGUUUCAUAGAAAAUUCAAAUCCCUUUUCACUUGGUCAUUCUCAUAAUUUAUUCAUGUGCAUUUAAUUUUGUUUUUAAUUUGUUCAAAGAGGAUGCUUAUGUAUUGGUUCAAAACAGCAUGCAUAUUGCUAGAUUGUAAUGUCAAAUGAUCUCAAAACAGUACUUUUUAUCCUCA